GGAUGCCAUGCACUGCAAGGGGUGCACACAUUAUUAAACACAAGAUAUAUAAGUAAGUUCCAUAUGAGAAUAUAAAAUUGUCCAACUAAAAAUCGCUUUAUAUUCUUCAUUGGCAUAGCUUGAGCAAUUAACUCAUAGAAAUGAUAUUCCUCUUAUGACAGAAAACCAAUACUCCCUGUAUCCAUAAAGGUUCUCACCUUUCAUUUUUCAUAGUACGAAAACAUAAUUAGUAAUAUGCCAUCUCACAUUUUUCAUUCCAUUUUUCCUUUUAUACCUCUCAUUAUUUUCUAGAAAAAUUGGCAUCUUUCUCUUUAAUUAGAAUUGUUUAUCUUGAAAAUAUAUAAAUUUUCAAUCAUAGAUACCUGGAAUGAUGUAACCCUUGGUAAGUGGCAUGGGUAUGGGAAUAUAAUUAGUAAUAUUUUGUAUUUGUAUUCCCAAGAAACUCUCACCUAAGCAGUCAAAUAUUAUUCUCACCUAAACCCAAUAACAAUAAAAAAGCAAGAGUCCAUUUCUCUGCUAAUUCUUUUCUCUCUGUUUUUCUUCUUCUCAUUCUUCCUUGGCACCCCUGUUUUGGCAAACUGAAUCACAAACUACAGCGUUCUGGAAUGCCAAAGUACAGAGUUAUGGUACACGCAUAUAAACCAUCUCAGAUAGCAUACUGUUAACUAGGAUAAAAUUCUAUAGAAGGCUUAGACGUUAGGAAUUCAUUAACAUCAUUAUAUAUGCAUUAUUACAUCAGAAAAAUCAC
rnacentral:misc_RNA from 1 species